rnacentral:rRNA from 1 species
AUUGAACUCUGGCUGCAGGCCUAACACAUGCCAGUCACACGAGUGGCGGACGGGUGAGUAAUGUCUGGGAAACUGCCUGAUGGAGGGGGAUAACUCCUAGAAACGGUAGCUAAUACCGCAUACCAUCAGAUAUGCCCAGAGGGGAUUAGCUAGUUGGUGGGGUAACGGCUAACCAAGGCGACGAUCCCUAGCUGGUCUGAGAGGAUGACCAGCCACACUGGAACUGAGACACGGUCCAGACUCCUACGGGAGGAAGAAGUGGGGAAUAUUGCACAAUGGGCGCAAGCCUGAUGCAGCCAUGCCGCGUGUAUGAAGAAGGCCUUCGGGUUGUAAAGUACUUUCAGCGGGGAGGCGUUACCCGCAGAAGAAGCACCGGCUAACUCCGUGCCAGCAGCCGCGGUAAUUC